rnacentral:rRNA from 1 species
GAUGAACGCUAGCGGCAGGCUUAAUACAUGCAAGUCGAGGGACAGCACAGGUAGCAAUACUGGGUGGUAACCGGCAAACGGGUGCGGAACACGUACACAACCUUCCUUUAAGUGGGGGAUAGCCCAGAGAAAUUUGGAUUAAUACCCCGUAAUAUAGUUGAAUGGCAUCAUUUGAUUAUUAUAGCUACGGCGCUUAAUGAUGGGUGUGCGGCUGAUUAGAUAGUUGGCGGGGUAACCGCCCACCAAGUCUACGAUCAGUAGCUGAUGUGAGAGCAUGGUCAGCCACACGGGCACUGAGACACGGACCCGACUCCUACGGGAGGCAGCAGUAAGGGAUAUUGGUCAAUGGACGCAAGUCUGAACCAGCCAUGCCGCGUGAAGGAUUAAGGUCCUCUGGAUUGUAAACUUCUUUUAUUUGGGACGAAAAAGGGCCUUUCUAGGUCAACUGACGGUACCAGAUGAAUAAGCACCGGCUAACUCCGUGCCAGCCGCCGCGGUAAGAC